GUCAGAGAGCAGCAGAUGAGUCACUCAUUUCCAUCUCAGUGGUCUCAGAAACAGCAUUAUGCCAUCGCUCCGUCAAAAGGCAGCGUCAGCUCCGUAUGCCUCAGCGCUCCACAGAUCUGCAGACGCCAUCAAUACAAGCCAAACUGGCAGGAAAAUGGGCCGAGCGCUUCUGAAGACUAUAAACCAGCGCUUGGAAAGACUCACACAGUUUGAUUAGACUGCAGGACGUGGACAUAAAUUGACAUACUUCAUUCGCCUCGAGUUGGAUUUUGUUCACUCUGGUUUAUAACCGUAGAGAGGAAAUUGCAUCUGCCCGUCAUAAACAGCAAUAUCUCAUUGCUCCAUCUCACUCAUGUGUCACGUGAGUGCUGCGCUGCUUACCAUUAGCAUUUUAUUGCCACUGCAAAGCAUUGCCGGUCUGACGGCUCUGCAGUCGUUUAUGCAGGCCACAGCAUCGAGUCCCAGCGUUCCCCGCUGAGGAGGCAUAAAUCCAGAUUAGAGUGCGGGAUGGGGGGAGGAAAUCAGAGCGAGGAAAUCCCUGGCAGGAGGAUCCCAGCUCAGCACUUUCUCUCUUCAUGAGCUC
ensembl:lncRNA